UACGUAGGGCGCAAGCGUUGUCCGGAAUUAUUGGGCGUAAAGAGCUCGUAGGUGGCUUGUCACGUCGGAUGUGAAAGCCCACAGCUUAACUGUGGGUCUGCAUUCGAUACGGGCUGGCUAGAGGUAGGUAGGGGCAAGCGGAAUUCCUGGUGUAGCGGUGAAAUGCGCAGAUAUCAGGAGGAACACCGGUGGCGAAGGCGGCUUGCUGGGCCUUACCUGACGCUGAGGAGCGAAAGCGUGGGGAGCGAACAGG
rnacentral:rRNA from 1 species